rnacentral:rRNA from 1 species
UACGUAGGGUGCGAGCGUUGUCCGGAAUUAUUGGGCGUAAAGAGCUCGUAGGCGGUGUGUCGCGUCGGCCGUGAAAACCUGCAGCUUAACUGUGGGCUUGCGGUCGAUACGGGCAUCACUGGAGUGCGGCAGGGGAGACUGGAAUUCCUGGUGUAGCGGUGAAAUGCGCAGAUAUCAGGAGGAACACCGGUGGCGAAGGCGGGUCUCUGGGCCGUUACUGACGCUGAGGAGCGAAAGCGUGGGGAGCGAACAGG